rnacentral:lncRNA from 1 species
UUCUAAUCAAAAGGAUAAGAAGUUUGUUCAGAGCUUGAUCCUUCCACCUCAACCUUCUGCUCUCUGCCUUCAGCCUGCCCCUUCAGUGUUGGAACAAGAUGGACCCUGGCCAGCUGCAAGCAGUGAGCUCCUUGGCCAGUAAACAUGAG